rnacentral:tRNA from 1 species
GGUUUUAAGUUAAAAUAAACUAGUAGCCUUCAAAGUUUCAAAUAGGGAUACCUCCCUAAACCUUA